rnacentral:rRNA from 1 species
UACGGAGGGGGAUAGCGUUAUUCGGACUUACUGGGCGUAAAGCGCGCGUAGGCGGACCUGCUAGUCGGGGGUGAAAGCCCGAGGCUCAACCUCGGAACUGCCUUCGAUACUGCGGGUCUCGAGUCCGGGAGAGGUGAGUGGAAUUCCUAGUGUAGAGGUGAAAUUCGUAGAUAUUAGGAAGAACACCAGUGGCGAAGGCGGCUCACUGGCCCGGUACUGACGCUGAGGCGCGAAAGCGUGGGGAGCAAACAGG